ACAUUACAUAGGAGCGCCGGGACGACGACACCGGCUAAAACUGAGCAUGACUACCGAAAAACUAGGCAUGCGCGAUUCGGAUUCCGAUACAUACAUUCGAUUACAUAUUGGGGUAUUACAAUUGCUCCGGAAAUGUUUUCAACUUUGUAAGGGUUUGUAAUUAUAGUUUAUUCGAGCGUUGCGAGUUACGUUAUUACUUGGAAUAUUGAUUGACACAACAACAUUUUUCUCAUUACAGAAGUAACACCGCUCAAUUGUAAUUCCAUGCCGAGGUUUGAACAAAGUUAACGUCUUUUUCUUUUUACUAUUUACUGUAACAAACGGAAUUGUAAAUUACACGCACAAAAUAAUAUACGAUACGAUGUACGUCGCUUCAGAACGGGUUUCGAGAAAAAUAUAGUGAAAAAUACUAUGAGAUCAACAGAGGAUAAUUUGGAUUUUCUGAAAAAUCAACUACUUACUUCACUCAUCAAUUCAUCAUAUUUAGGCGCAUCGGAGCUCGAACUUUAACUGAAAUUAACGCGUCAAAAUAAAAAAUAUCGUCAUUCUUCUGAUUGUUCAGAAUAGUCAAAUCUGGGAGAGUUUGAAUUAUUUUACAUCUAACAAGCUGUCAAUAGAUCGCGUAAGUUAAAGUUGCGAGGUGGACGUCGAAUCGAACAAUUGCCCCAAUGGCGGCACCUCGAUUAGUAGUUUGCUGAGAAUAGUGUUCAAAAGCCAGUCUUAUACUUAGUGCGAUCUAUAAUACUCCGUUUAUCGGUAAUGGAUAGUAUUUACGCAAGUAGAACUAAUAACACCAAUAACGUGUAAUAAAAGAUCGAUCGUGAAAGGUAUACCGAUGGAAUAAAGCAACAAUUAAACGCAUUGAUACAUCAUUGCUGGUGCAUUUGGAUUUUUUUAUUUGCUUUAAAUAUUUUCGACUGUCACAGGGUUGUCAUUAUUAUGUGUAUAUAUUUAUACAUAAUUUCAACGCUUAGUCUUGUAAAAUUGCUAAUUAUUGCUCGUUCACGAAUUUCAUCAUACAUUGUAUACUUAUCACUCAACAGUUUACACAUACACGAAAUACAGUAUGUA